rnacentral:lncRNA from 1 species
AACAUUUCUCUCAUUUCCAGAGAGUUCCAAACGCUCUGUCUUCUCUCUUCUUUCUCUCUCUAUAUUUUCUAUGAUUUCUCGGUCAAAUAUCAAUGUUUACAUGGUAUCAGAGCCGAGACGACGAUCCGAUCAUGUUUCUCUAUAUCUCGUUGUCUUGGUUGAACUCUUUUCUGAGAUUUUUUGGGGAUUUUUCUGAGACCUUAUGUUCGAUGAUGCUUCUGACCCAUGUUUCUCUCAUCUCGUUGUCUUGGUUGAACUCUUUUCUGAGAUUUUUUGGGGAUUUUUCUGAAACCUUAUGGUCGAUGAUUCUUCUGACCUAGAUCGGAUGCUUUUCCGAGUUUUUCGUCAUGAUAUCUAAGUGUAUUUUCUUCACCCGAACAUUCUGAGAGUUUUUUUGCUGAUUUUGGGUGGUUUCUCGGUGACCUAUCGGCUUCUAGGGUUUCUGGUGGUUUAACCUAGGGUUCUACUGCUUUCCGGUGGCUCGAUUCUCACUCGGUGGACGUUUUGGGUGCCUCUCCAACGUUCCUGACCACAUUUCCAGUAAGGAUUUCGAAGGUUACACUUAGG